rnacentral:rRNA from 1 species
AACGUACGCUGGCGGCACGCUUAACACAUGCAAGUCGAACGAAGUAGCAAUACUUAGUGGCAGACGGGUGAGUAACAUGUGGGUAUCUGCCCUUUGGCCUGGAAUAACACGAGGAAACUUGUGCUAAUACCGGAUAAGUCUUUACGGAGAAAGCUUUAUGCACCAUUGGAUGAGCCCGCACUUGAUUAGUUUGUUGGUGGGGUAAUGGCCUACCAAGACUGUGAUCAAUAGCUGAUUUGAGAGGAUGAUCAGCCACAUUGGGACUGAGACACGGCCCAAACUCCUACGGGAGGCAGCAGUGGGGAAUCUUGCACAAUGGAGGAAACUCUGAUGCAGCGAUGCCGCGUGAGUGAAGAAGGCCCUUGGGUUGUAAAGCUCUUUCGUCGGGGAAGAAAAUGACUGUACCCGAAUAAGAAGGUCCGGCUAACUUCGUGCCAGCAGCCGCGGUAAUACGAAGGGGCCUAGCGUAGUUCGGAAUUACUGGGCUUAAAGAGUUCGUAGGUGGUUGAAAAAGUUAGUGGUGAAAUCCCAGAGCUUAACUCUGGAACUGCCAUUAAAACUUUUCAGCUAGAGUAUGAUAGAGGAAAGCAGAAUUUCUAGUGUAGAGGUGAAAUUCGUAGAUAUUAGAAAGAAUACCAAUUGCGAAGGCAGCUUUCUGGAUCAUUACUGACACUGAGGAACGAAAGCAUGGGUAGCGAAGAGGAUUAGAUACCCUCGUAGUCCAUGCCGUAAACGAUGUGUGUUAGACGUUGGAAAUUUAUUUUCAGUGUCGCAGCGAAAGCGAUAAACACACCGCCUGGGGAGUACGACCGCAAGGUUAAAACUCAAAUGAAUUGACGGGGACCCGCACAAGUAGUGGAGCAUGUGGUUUAAUUCGAAGAUACGCGCAGAACCUUACCAACACUUGACAUGUUCGUCGCGACUCUAAGAGAUUAGAGUUUUCGGUUCGGCCGGACGAAACACAGGUGCUGCAUGGCUGUCGUCAGCUCGUGUCGUGAGAUGUUGGGUUAAGUCCCGCAACGAGCGCAACCCUCACUUUUAGUUGCCAUCAUUAAGUUGGGCACUCUGAAAGAACUGCCAGUGAUAAGCUGGAGGAAGGUGGGGAUGACGUCAAGUCCUCAUGGCCCUUACGUGUUGGGCUACACACGUGCUACAAUGGUAUCUACAACAGGAAGCAAGACUGCGAGGUCAAGCAAAUCCUUAAAAGAUACCUCAGUUCGGAUUGCACUCUGCAACUCGAGUGCAUGAAGCUGGAAUUACUAGUAAUCGUGGAUCAGCGUGCCACGGUGAAUGCGUUCCCGGGUCU